GGAUCAGUCGCUUUGGAGGAAGCCAGCUGCCAUGUUUUGAGGACACUAAGGCACUUUACGGAGAGGCCCACGUGUAAAUCCUUCUCCUCCCAGAAGCAUUUAAAAAUCCACAAACCAUGGCUAACUUCCUGUGAAAUGGCUUAGUGGGCAAAAAUUCAGAAUAAGGGGAGUGUGAGUCCAUGUCUCCUUUCCAGAGAUGAAGAAGUUUCUCUUUUCUGUGCAUGAAGAAGACAAUGGGAUAUGGAUGACACUAAACCUUUGAAAGUUCCUGCUAACCUCCAGGUGGAAGGAAAGGGCCCACGGUGAUCAAUAAAUGUGUUUGCUAUUUUUUGGGUGAAAGGAAGAGAGCCUGCACCUCUGUUGGGGUAGGUUAUCCACGCUGUCUGCCUGGGGUCCAGAUUCCUGGCAUUGAUAUGACUUCUUGGCUCUCUUGAGCCCUGAAUCUGCUUCAAAUUCAGAAAGCCCCAAGACUUCUG
rnacentral:lncRNA from 10 species